CCGCCCGUCACAUCAUGAAAGCCGUUUGUACCCGAAGUCAUUGUGUCAACCGCAAGGGGAUAGAUGCCGAAGGUAUGAAUGGUGAUUGGGAUG
rnacentral:rRNA from 1 species